rnacentral:rRNA from 1 species
UGGGGAAUAUUGCGCAAUGGGCGAAAGCCUGACGCAGCGACGCCGCGUGGGGGAUGAAGGCCUUCGGGUUGUAAACCCCUUUCAGCAGGGACGAAGCGAAAGUGACGGUACCUGCAGAAGAAGCGCCGGCUAACUACGUGCCAGCAGCCGCGGUAACACGUAGGGCGCAAGCGUUGUCCGGAAUUAUUGGGCGUAAAGAGCUCGUAGGCGGUCUGUUGCGUCCGCUGUGAAAACUCGGGGCUUAACCCCGAGCCUGCAGUGGAUACGGGCAGACUAGAGGUAGGUAGGGGAGAAUGGAAUUCCCGGUGUAGCGGUGAAAUGCGCAGAUAUCGGGAGGAACACCGGUGGCGAAGGCGGUUCUCUGGGCCUUACCUGACGCUGAGGAGCGAAAGCGUGGGGAGCAAACA